rnacentral:lncRNA from 1 species
ACCCUAUCACCUACGCAUACCUCUGCUUCUUUUCAUUAACCUGCUAUCCUCUUUACAAAUGGGAUUCUUCACCCACCCCCUUCUUCUAGAUUAGCAAUUCCCUGUUAAGUAAAUGAACAUGAAAUUCAAAGGGAAACAGGAGCAAUAAUCAUUACCAGCUGCCGUGUUAAGCAUUGCGAAAACGCUCACGAUUCACAGAAAAAUCCAUGCUGUUCUUUGAAGGCAUUCAAGCCUUAAUAGCUAGCUGGAUGAAUGUUUAACUUCUAGGCCAGGCACUACUCUGUCCCAACAAUAAGCCCUGUACAUUGGGAAAGGUGCCGAGACAUGAACUUUGGUCUUCUCUGCAAUCCAUCUGGAGCAUUCAGUGACAACAUCGACUUUGAAGUUGCACUGACCUGGCCAGCCCUGCCACUUACCAGGUUGGGCUCUUGAGUUUCUGCUUUCAAGUGACCCUCAGAAAUUCCCCCAUUCACUGCAGAGGUUCUGUUUCUCCUUGCUUUGUUCUGACUUUACGGCAGAACUAAGCUGAUGAGUUAGUUACUAUGGGUUAUCACUUGGAUUUGAAGAACCAUCAUUUCUAGGCAUUGCUGCUCAGAGUGGGUCUGCCCUCAGGGGAAGCUGUCUAACCAGAGCCUAACCCACUAGGGUUUUAUCAGAACCUAACUGACCUGAGGAAAAGAAAUAUUCAACUCCAGCAAGCUCCAGCCUUCCAAAUGGAGGAGAAGAAAACCCAACUCCAGCCCACUUCAGCUAUCUUGUCCCACAUAAAGGGGAAGUGGAAGAAACCUGAGAAGCAGGCAUGAAGUUCACAGUCCAGAGGUACAGACACAUCAGAGUUCAGUAUCUGAUGAAUUAGAUGCAAAAACCUCAACAAA